AUACGGAGGGUGCGAGCGUUGUUCGGAAUUACUGGGCGUAAAGCGCGUGUAGGCGGUCGAGCAAGUCGAAUGUGAAAUCCCUGGGCUCAACCCCGGAAUUGCAUCCGAAACUGCUUGGCUAGAGUCCCGGAGAGGAAGGCAGAAUUCCCAGUGUAGGGGUGAAAUCCGUAGAUAUUGGGAGGAAUACCAGUGGCGAAGGCGGCCUUCUGGACGGUGACUGACGCUGAGAUGCGAAAGCGUGGGGAGCAAACAGGAUUAGAAACCCCGGUAGUCC
rnacentral:rRNA from 1 species